rnacentral:rRNA from 1 species
AGAUCAACGCUGGCGGCAUGCUGAACACUUGCCCCUCUAACGAGAUCUUCUGAUCUCUGGCGCCCGGGUGAUACAACGCGUGGAAAUCUGCCAUUCUGUACGGAAUAACGUUUGGAAACGAACGCUAAUACCGUAUACGCCCUACGGGGGAAAGGUCCGCCGCAGAAUGAGGAGUCCGCGUCCGAUUAGCUAGUUGGUAGGGUAAUGGCCUACCAAGGCGACGAUCGGUAGCUGGUCUGAGAGGAUGAUCAGCCACACUGGGACUGAGACACGGCCCAGACUCCUACGGGAGGCAGCAGUGGGGAAUAUUGGACAAUGGGGGCAACCCUGAUCCAGCAAUGCCGCGUGUGUGAUGAAGGCCCUAGGGUUGUAAAGCACUUUCAAUGGUGAAGAUGAUGACGGUAACCAUAGAAGAAGCCCCGGCUAACUUCGUGCCAGCAGCCGCGGUAAUA